UUGAACGCUGGCGGCAUGCCUUACACAUGCAAGUCGAACGGCAGCACGGGAGCAAUCCUGGUGGCGAGUGGCGAACGGGUGAGUAAUAUAUCGGAACGUGCCCAAUCGUGGGGGAUAACGCAGCGAAAGCUGUGCUAAUACCGCAUACGAUCUACGGAUGAAAGCGGGGGACUCAGCAAUGGGCCUCGCGCGAAUGGAGCGGCCGAUAUCAGAUUAGCUAGUUGGUGGGGUAAAGGCUCACCAAGGCGACGAUCUGUAGCUGGUCUGAGAGGACGACCAGCCACACUGGAACUGAGACACGGUCCAGACUCCUACGGGAGGCAGCAGUGGGGAAUUUUGGACAAUGGGCGCAAGCCUGAUCCAGCAAUGCCGCGUGCAGGAUGAAGGCCUUCGGGUUGUAAACUGCUUUUAUAUGUCAAGAAAAUGACGGUAGCAUAUGAAUAAGCACCGGCUAACUCCGU
rnacentral:rRNA from 1 species